rnacentral:rRNA from 1 species
GACGAACGCUGGCGGCGUGCUUAACACAUGCAAGUCGAACGGUAAGGCCCUUCGGGGUACACGAGUGGCGAACGGGUGAGUAACACGUGGGUGAUCUGCCCUGCACUUCGGGAUAAGCCUGGGAAACUGGGUCUAAUACCGGAUAGGACCACUGCCUGCAUGGGUGGUGGUGGAAAGCUUCUGCGGUGUGGGAUGGGCCCGCGGCCUAUCAGCUUGUUGGUGGGGUGAUGGCCUACCAAGGCGACGACGGGUAGCCGGCCUGAGAGGGUGACCGGCCACACUGGGACUGAGAUACGGCCCAGACUCCUACGGGAGGCAGCAGUGGGGAAUAUCGCACAAUGGGCGCAAGCCUGAUGCAGCGACGCCGCGUGAGGGAUGACGGCCUUCGGGUUGUAAACCUCUUUCAGCACCGACGAAGCGCAAGUGACGGUAGGUGCAGAAGAAGGACCGGCCAACUACGUGCCAGCAGCCGCGGUAA